GCGUUUGCGUUCGUAUGUGAGGAGGGCGAGAGAGGCGCCGCGACGGCUCUGGAAGCGGCGGAUGGAUCUGUGAGGAGAUGAGGAACCAAGCGAUCUCUGAUAUCCGUGAUGCAUUCCACGAUAGUUUUCAAUCUGAGAUCCGCAAUCCGUUGCUCGAGCCGUGCGUCCUCCUCUCCUCUCCUCGGCCUGGUGAUGGAACUUUUGAGUAUUCUCUCUGAAGGCCGCUCCUUGUUCGCCUAUUUCUCCCCUAUGAGUUGUCGAGCUCCGGUCAUGUUUCUGAUGCCUGGAAACCCUAGUUUUUUCUUCUAUUGUUAUAUCUCGUUUUCUCGUAUCUUGCUUAUUGCUCUCUUUUUGUGGUUCGAACUAGAGAUUGCAUUAUGUUGGAGAUUAAUUUGAACCUUCUUUAGGUCUUUGUUGUCUGAAAAACCUAGUUAGUUACUUGCAGAGUCUAGAUGUGACUCCGAGAUUGUAAUCGGUCGUCACUACCCCAAAUUUUGUGUUAUUUCUUGGAUUUUUCCCCAUUUUGUACGGUUCUCUUCUUAUUGUUGGAUUUAAAGUUCUAUUUGUUUGUAUUAUUCUUAAUGUUUCAGAGUUUUUGUGGCUUUAUACCUCCUCUUUUCACAGCUAUACGAUAUGUAGAUUCUAUUCUUAAUGUUUGAAAGUGUUGUUGGCUUUGAUUUUGAUACUCUGUGCUUUCUUUUGGGUUUAAAAGUCCAAGUUUUUUAUUGAGAUUUAAAUGAGAAAUCAAAGUUCGUGAAACAAUAAAUGGAUUUUUGCUAGACAUCACGGAAAAAGCUGCUGUACAGAUUCAUUUUUUCUUGCUUUACUUUCCAUGAAGUGCCUAACAAAUGGUGGAAGUAUCUUCAGAUGUCCCUAUAUGAGACUUAGUGAAACACAAGUGGAUAUGGAAUACUUUUGUAGGAAGCUGCAAAUUUGACUUGGGACUUCGCAUGCCUUGUGAUUUGGAAAGUUAUGGCAUAUGCUGUUUCUGCUACUAAUACCACUAGCUACUGCUGUAUUAUUUUGACCAAAACAUGGUUAUCCAACAGUUGAAGAAUUUUUAUGUCUCAAAUAUCUGUCUUAAUAUAAAUAACUUCUUUGUUUUAAUGUCACCAGAAGACCAUAAUCUGUACAUAUGCUCACUAUUCUAUGUUAAUCCUGUCCUUGAGAAUAUAGAUAUGUCAUUCCUUCUGAUAAAGAAAUCAUUUUUAGUUGUGCUUUCAUAUGUAUUGGGUUCAAACUUUGAAAUGCUGUGUCUAUGAAAUGCGAAGCCCAAGAUUCGGUGAUUUUUAGAAUUGUGAUGCUACUCAGCACUUUUUUUCGGUUAUAUUGAUGCCUCUAUAGCAGACACUUGCUUUCAGUGGCAUAUGGUAGCACCAGCGCCCAUGGACAUGCAAGUUUAUAGCUUUCUAGGUGCCAGAGAUUUUGUGAAUAUGGUCGUGAUACUUGAAUUUGAGUACCUUCUGGUCAAUGACAUUUAUGUAUGUGGUUCUAUUUGCUUAUGACAUAUCUAGUAUAUAGUUCUAUUUGUGUUGUUUGACUGAUCUUGCAAAGCUACUUUCAUCCUGUGUGGAAGUGGUAACAUUUUUAGUUUAUAGUAAUCUCAAGAUCAGUGCAGGUUUUUCAACUUGGCGAAUAUGUUCUUCAUUAGUUCUUAUACUUCCUUUUUGUUUACACUUUUUUUUUCUUGUUUAAGAUUUUGUUGAUUUACCAGCGAAAAGCUUGCCCGAGUUCAUUCAUCAACGACUCCUUUAUAUUACUUAACUUUUGAAGUGCCUAACCUUAAUAUUAGAGAUGCACCCAAUUUAUGAUUCAUACCUUUGAGCAUGAUAUAUAGCUCAUUUAGAUGCUAUUCAACUAAUGCAACAUGGUGAUCAGGUUUGGUGCACCUGUUGAUUUUUCAUGGAUGCAACAUGCUAUGACUUGAGAAAAAGGAAAACUAGGAAUCUAUGUGCUUACAAGUGAAAUGUGAUGCAAAUUGCUAUACAACCUUUCUUUUGUUUUCCUCAGUCGCAACUUGAUGCAUAAGACCUUGAGCAAUAGACCUGCAUAACUCAAUUUUAAGAAUGAUAUUUUCAAUUGUAAGAAAUCAUACAUCAAGAAAAUGGUGGGACUUUCAACCAUGGUCCCUCUUGUAACGACAGUGCAGUAGUAGUUGGCUGAAUCCAUUGAGAGUCAAGCCGCCAUCGGAUGUCAGACCAUAUAGAUUGAUUUUGGCAAUAGUUCUCUCUUUUAUAUUUGGUGAUACUGGAUUGGGCCAUGCAGAUUUCCAAAACAAGGUUUAAAACCUUGAUUUGAAAUGGUUCUGUAAGAUAGAAGUUCGUGUUGUUUGCAUUGCAGAAAAUGCCCCGGCAAUAUCCUCCUGCAUUUCAUUGUGUCUAGUAGGCCUGAUCAUAUGUUUUGAAUAGCUCAUAUUUUAUGGCGCUUGAUAUGAUGUCUGUAAUGGAUGGUUAAAUCGAGGCUAACCAGGAAAAGUAUGUCUAAAAGUCAACACGGUGGGGCUGAUCCAGGAAAAGCAAACGAUAAGUUUUGUAUUCUGUUGUGGCUGUGAAAAGUGGAUGCGGCUGAGACCAAUUAGGUUGGCGUUGCUGUGCCGAUUGCAGUCGACAUCAAGAGGGAGUAGCAUCUACCAGAAAUCUUUGUCUCUAUUGGGCAAAGAUGGAUUCACGGCGUGCCUUUGUUCCCCUACAUGCAUUACAGGACUACAGGAGAUGAUGAAGACGACUCGAGCCAGGCCGUGCUUCUGCCGAGCCCGCAAAGGGGGUCCGGAGGAACUCUCAGAUCAAAUUUGGCAGCGGCGAACACCCGACCCAUGAGACAAAUCACCUGUCAUCCCGGUACGAGACAAGCACUCCGCUGCGCCAACCACAAUAAAAGCAGGGAGACCGAGACGAGAAAAGACAGAGAGAGAGAGAGAGAGAGAGAGAGAGGAAUCUCAUCGUCGCGGACGGUGACAACAUGAUAUGAGAGGAGGUGGGGAGGUCAGAGGGGGCACUGUCCCUCCCCACGUGUCUGGCGUCGUACGGGUCUGAUCGGAGAUGUACGCCCGCCUCCCGGUGGCUUUGAUGGGCGCGCAGCAGCGGUGGCGAAGCCUGUACGUAGCAUACGGCGUACACCUCCGCUUGAUGCACACCACCUGUUCGCUCCGUGACCGCGCAGAAACCGGCACCAAUCGAUGCCCCGUUACUGUUGUCAUUAUAGAUCGCCUAUUGCACCCACCGGCGUUGUGAUUGGACGCAACAUGCGGUCCCACGUGGAGCCCAACCAUGCCUUCGAUCAUAAGUCCCACCAGAUGGGUUGCUGCGGCGGCUGACCUUUUCCUGAGGAGUUGGAGGUCUCAGUGCCCACACGUUUCCUCAUCAUGAUAACCUGCAGAUCCCCAUAUCAGUUCAUAGCUCGUCACUGCUUCUUGGAGUGCAGACAGACGAGGUAACAAGCGUGUCUUCUUCACCUGCUUUUUAUUGUUCUGGCUCGGCUCUCCAUCUUGAAGAGAUUUCAGCUCGAAAUGCUCGAGCAUUUGAGGGAGGCGAUCGGGCACCGCCGCGAGAGGUCGGUGAUCGAUGCAGAAGCAAACGCCAAUGGGCAUUGCAUCGUUAGCCGAACUCACACGGCAAGCCAUUUGCACGGAUCACGAAGAGCAACACGGACUCCGAGGGCCGUGUCCUUAACGGAUGACCAUUUAGGAUUUGGUCGUUCGGGAUUAGUCUUCUUCCCAGCUCGGUCGUCUUGGAGAUGAGGAUGUUUGCCUACUUUUGGACGUGACAGUGAAGGCC